rnacentral:hammerhead_ribozyme from 1 species
UUCCAGCUGACGAGUCCCAAAUAGGACGGAAUUCGAGUCCUGGAU